rnacentral:rRNA from 1 species
CCUACGGGAGGCAGCAGUGAGGAAUAUUGCUCAAUGGACGAGAGCCUGAACCAGCCAAGUCGCGUGAAGGAUGACUGCCCUAUGGGUUGUAAGCUUCUUUUAUAUGGGAGUAAAAUGUUCCACGUGUGGGAUUUUGUAUGUACCAUAUGAAUAAGGAUCGGCUAACUCCGUGCCAGCAGCCGCGGUAAUACGGAGGAUCCGAGCGUUAUCCGGAUUUAUUGGGUUUAAAGGGAGCGUAGGUGGAUUGUUAAGUCAGUUGUGAAAGUUUGGGGCUCAACCGUAAAAUUGCAGUUGAAACUGGCAGGCUUGAGUACAGUAGAGGUGGGCGGAAUUCGUGGUGUAGCGGUGAAAUGCGUAGAUAUCACGAAGAACUCCGAUGGCGAAGGCAGCUCACUGGACUGCAACUGACACUGAGGCUCGAAAGCGUGGGGAGCAAACAGGAUUAGAUACCCUGGUAGUC